rnacentral:snRNA from 1 species
AGCUUUGCGCAGUGGCAGUAUCGUAGCCAAUGAGGUUUAGCCGAGGCGCGAUUAUUGCUAAUUGAAAAAAAAAAAAAAAGAAAUCCUUCCUCAGUGAUCAAUGCAAAGAAAUAGAGGAAAGCAAUACAAUGG